CACCUCCCCAAAGCGCCCGGGAAUUACAAGCGCAAGCUUAAAACCCAAAGGAUUUGACGGUGUCCCACCCACCUAGAGGAGCCUGUUCUAUAAACAAUGAUCCACGAUACACCUCACCAUUUUUUGCCUUCCUCAGCCUGUAUACCUCCGUCAACAGCUUACCAUUUGAGUGCCAUAAAGUAGGUUUAAUAGGCCAUGCACGCCAAUACGUCAGGUCAAGGUGCAGCCCACAAAAUGGAAAGCAAUGGGCUACAAUUUCUAAUACAGAACAAAUGAAAAAUUAUCUGAAAUGAUACUAUGAAAGCGGAUUUAGUAGUAAAAGAAGAACAAUACGCUUCUUUUAACAAGGCCCUGGGACGUGUACAAACCGCCCGUCAUCCUCUUCAACAGUAAACAUAAAAUUCCCUAACACCCAAUUAACACUAGAGAAGAGGCAAGUCGAAACAUGNNAAGUGUACUGGAAAGUGCACUUGGUUAAACAAAGUGUAGCUUAACUAAAGCCCCUCGUUUACACCGAAAAAACGUCUGUUAAACCCAGACCCCUCUGAGCCUUAAAUCUAGCCUAUAUUUUUCCUAUGACCCCUCCACCCUAAUCAAAUAUAAAAAACUUUUUGACAGCUCAA
rnacentral:rRNA from 1 species